AAAUUCAUUUUACUUCGACAAAGGUUGAAGUAUGUAGCAGGCGAGCGGCAGGGACAAGUGCAGCUAUCUCUUUGAUCACAUCGCUUUAACCAUUUUUCAGCUUUAAGCUUGUCUUACAAAUCAGCUCUAUCAGUCUAUUAAUUGUUUCACUGUACCUAAUAUCUUACACGAAGGCACCUUGAAAAACAGCAGGAGAAAGCACAUUUGUUUAAGUCCUGCGAUGGCUAGCACGGCAGCUAAUCUCCUUGCAAAUUAUAAUCAUAGUUGUAGUUCAUCCAUUAGGCUGGAAAAGACAAGAUUCCCAAGUGGCCUUGGUGCCUUUUCCAGUUCCCGGGAGACCCACCAACCCUCGGCGUGUGUUGCCUGCGCACCCGGAGCGUUCUUGCUAAUCAGGUCAAUGAUUAGCGCCUGGCUCCAGGGACCUGCCAAGAGUGUUAGGGAGCCUCCAAACGGAGCACGCUCACGGAGAAUCUCCCGUUCAGAAACAUCGCUUAGUCCUCAUUUACUCACUGGGAACCUCGGAGGAUUUCAGCUGAUGUUUUUCUCUCCUUAGACAGUGAGGAGCUCAACAUAACAGGGAAAAGGAGCACAGGAUGCAGCUACUUCGAGGGUGUUGAUUGAAAACUUCGAUCUCCCCACCCCAUCAUUGAUGGUUGAUUUGACGGAUUUCUCACCUCUUUCACAGAGAAAAUUUCAAUUAAGGCACAUGGAGACGGACCUCUACCUGCAAUGCCCCCCUUGCACUUGGACAGAACCAUGUGACUAUUUAUAAGCUAUGACACAUGAGCAGACAUGACAUGACGGGAUUGAUGGAGCAAUGACCUCAUCUUUUCUCCUGCCAAAUAUUAUGAAAGAGGACUCAAGUCACUCACCUAAGGGACACUGGGUGAAAGUCAGUAAUGAAGCUGAAAGGUCGCUAAAUGCUGGCAAGUGAGAUAGAUUAUAGUGUCUAGACUUUUUCCUGAGGUCAUUCUAUAUCCAGCAGAUGUCUUUCAGUAUAUAGUCUAUUCAAAACAAUGUGCUAGUGACUAUUGAGUGUGGUUACAGUCUUUUUUUUUUUUUUUUUUUUUGAGAUGGAGUCUCACUCUGUCCCCUAGGCUGGAGUGCAGUGGCACAAUCUUGGCUCACUGCAACCUCUGCCUCCUGGGUUCAAGCAAUUCUCCUGAGUCAGCCUCCUGAGUAGCUGAGACUAUAGGCACCCACCAUCAGGGCCGACUAAUUUUUGUAUUUUUAGUAGAGAUGGGGUUUCACCAUAUUGGCCAGGCUGGUCUUAAACUCCUGACCUUGUAAUCUGCCCGCCUUGGCUUCCCAAAGUGCUGGGAUUACAAGAGUGAGCCACCAAGCCCAGCCAGUUACAUUCUUUAAACAAGGAGUGGACGUACCCUGAAACAAGACAUUAGUCAAAGAGAUUUUGCUAUUCAUGGGACCUAAAAGGUGGCUGUACUUCCCUUUACUGCUUUUCCAUACACAGCAAUGCAUGCUGUAUGGGUUCUUAUAGGUCAGAGAGUGAAAGAGAACCAGGACCUAUAAAAGAAUACAAGUCUCUAAAAUCAGAAAGUUUAUUAUUUAAAAAAAUAGUUAUGUGCCAGUCUGCUUAUAAUUUUAUUUUUAUGACUGAGAGUGCCUUUCAUAAGCACAUUCUGGCAAACUAUAAAACAAAUAAAUUGAAAUUGAAUAAAACCUUUAGACAUUAGAAGUGUAGCACCAGAUUUGGUACAUAACUGCAAAACUUAAACAUGCAAUUUUACAUCUGCAAGCACAUUAAAUUGAAAGAAACUUUAACUUAAUUUAGAUAUAUUAAUUGAUACAAACUUUUCUGGUAUAUAGCACUUCUUGGCGCAUUGAGUAUUCUUAAUCUUUAAGGCACAUGAAUAUAAUACCUUAGGAAAGAUCUGUUCUCCACACAUUUCCUCUAUAAAGUGCCAAAAAAAAAAUAACGAAGAGCCAGUUUGUCUUCCGCAUCAGUGUGAUUUAGCAUACAUAAAUAAGUAUCUUUUCACACAAAAUAAAAGGUUCAGAACCCAAAGUGUCUGAUUUUUAUAGUGCUUUUUCUUUCCUUUUAAAAAGAUAGCAAGAUGAGGGUAAGAGGUAAUUUAAGAGAAGUAAUCAUCUUCUAACAGCCAGCUUGCAGAAACUAAAACAAAUAUCAAUGAUGUAAAAAUGUUGUUUUGACACUUUGGUAAAUGAAAGUGUGAGAUGAGUAAGAAUAUAUUAUAGGUGCUUGUAUAUCAAAGGCCUGUGAAAAUGGCUGAUUAUAAAGGAGAAAGUUAAUGAUCUCUAAUUGUGUUGUAAUUUAAAUGCAGUAUCACCGUAAUGAAGAGAACAGAUUUGCAUGUUAACAAAAGAAAUAUUAGAGGAGUGAGUGUAGGAUGUUUGGGAUAAUUAAUUCCAUCCUCCACUCCUACAUACAUAUGCAUAUACAAACUCAAUUCAAUUUUAAAGAGAACCCGAAGAACCAAAAAUAGACUGAACACACUUGAUGUUGUAUGGGAGCUUAAAUUACUAUUUUUGUUGUUCUCUGUGACUAUCUCAUUUAGUUUCUAUUGUGUUUGCAAUUUCUUCCAAGGUGAUUUUUAAUGGAUUGAGUAAUGCAUAAAAAUUUGCAGAAGUAUGCAGAAAGUUUGUAUGCAGGGCCAUGUAGAGCUUUUAUCCUACGGUAAAUCCUAGUAGUUUGCUGGUGCUGUGUGAUUUUUUUUUUUUUGUUUAGGGUUUUGUGUGUGUGUGUGUGUGUGUGUGUGUGUGUGUGUGUGUGAAGCUUAUUUAUUCCAUUUC
rnacentral:lncRNA from 1 species